rnacentral:rRNA from 1 species
UACGGAGGAUGCAAGCGUUAUCCGGAAUGAUUGGGCGUAAAGCGUCCGCAGGUGGCAAUGUAAGUCUGCUGUUAAAGAGUCUAGCUCAACUAGAUAAAAGCAGUGGAAACUACACGGCUAGAGUGCGUUCGGGGCAGAGGGAAUUCCUGGUGUAGCGGUGAAAUGCGUAGAGAUCAGGAAGAACACCGGUGGCGAAAGCGCUCUGCUGGACCUUAACUGACACUGAGGGACGAAAGCUAGGGGAGCGAAUGGG